UUGGUACCUUCACAUAGCAACAUGUUCGCUCUAACUCUCCUGCUGCUGCUGGCUGCUGGAUCCUAUGUGAUGUGUGAGCAGCUGCAACAGCCAGACUCUUUGACUGUGCAGCCAGGUCAGAGUCUGACUGUCAGCUGUCAGGUCUCUUAUUCUCUGAGCAGCUACUGGACAGCUUGGAUCAGACAGCCUGCUGGGAAAGGACUGGAGUGGAUUGGGAGCAAAUAUACAGGAGAUUCAUACUACAAAAAAUCACUGGAGAACAAGUUCAGUAUUACCUUAGACACAUCCAGUAACACAGUGACUCUGAAUGGACAGAAUAUGCAGCCUGGAGACUCUGCUGUGUAUUACUGUGCAAGAGACCACAGUUACAAAAACAAGCAACAGAGCUGUGUUUGGAGUGAGAUCAAAUUGCAGCAGCCUCAACCCUCUGAGGUGAAAAGACCAGGAGACACUGUGAAGAUUUCAUGUGUCACGUCUGGUUACACAAUGACACAGUACGGCAUGCACUGGAUAAAACAGAAAUCUGGGAAAGGUUUAGAAUGGAUUGGGUGGAUAAACACAUACACAGCUGCUGCUACCUAUGCCAGUUCUUUUCAGAGUCGUUUCACCUUCACUCAAGAUGUUUCCAGCAGCACUCAGUUCCUGCAGAUCACCAGUCUCACUACAGAGGACUCUGCUGUUUACUUCUGUGCAAGACAGCACAGUGACUGA